GCGGCGUGGUUUAGGCAUGCAAGUCGAACGAGAAAGCCCCCUUCGGGGGGUGAGUACAGUGGCAAACGGGUGAGUAACAGGUGGGUAAUUUACCCUUAUGUGGGGAAUAACUCCGGGAAACCGGGGCUAAUACCGCAUAUAACCGUAGCGGCGAUGCCGGUACGGUUAAAGGUGGCCUCAAUUUAUUGAAGCUGUCGCAUAAGGAUAAGCCCGCCCCCCAUUAGCUUGUUGGUGAGGUAACGGCUCACCAAGGCGACGAUGGGUAGCCGGCCUUAGAGGGUGUCCGGCCACACUGGGAUUGAGAUACGGCCCAGACUCCUACGGGAGGCAGCAGUCUAGAAGCUUCCGCAAUGGGGGAAACCCUGACGGAGCGACGCCGCGUGUGUGAAGAAGGCCUUCGGGUCGUAAAGCACUGUCAGAUGGGAAGAAAUAGAAGGCGUGAAUAGCGUCUUCGAAAGACGGUACCAUCAGAGGAAGCUCCGGCCAACUCCGUGCCAGCAGCCGCGGUAAGACGGAGGGAGCGAGCGUUGUUCGGAAUCAUUGGGCGUAAAGCGCACGUAGGCGGCAAGAUAAGUUCGUUGUGAAAGCCCCACUGCUCAACAGGGGGAUUGCAGCGAAAACUGUUUUGCUUGAGUAUGGGAGAGGUGAGUGGAAUUCCAUGUGUAGCGGUGGAAUGCGGAGAUAUAUGGAAGAACACCGGUGGCGAAGGCGGCUCACUGGCCUAAUACUGACGCUGAGGUGCGAAAGCUAGGGUAGCAAACGGGAUUAGAUACCCCGGUAGUCCUAGCCGUAAACGAUGGACACUAGGUGUGGGAGGUAUCGACCCCUUCCGUGCCGUAGUUAACGCGUUAAGUGUCCCGCCUGGGGAGUACGGCCGCAAGGCUAAAACUCAAAGGAAUUGACGGGGGCCCGCACAAGCGGUGGAGCAUGUGGUUUAAUUCGAUGCAACGCGAAGAACCUUACCGGGGUUUGAACUGUCGGCGACAGGUCUGGAGACAGGCCCUCCUUCGGGCGCCGUCAGAGGUGCUGCAUGGCUGUCGUCAGCUCGUGUCGUGAGAUGUUGGGUUAAGUCCCGCAACGAGCGCAACCCUUGUCCUUAGUUGCCAGCGAGUAAUGUCGGGAACUCUAAGGAGACUGCCCCGGAUAACGGGGAGGAAGGUGGGGAUGACGUCAAGUCCUCAUGGCCCUUAUGCCCCGGGCUACACACGUGCUACAAUGACCGGUACAGAGAGUCGCAAUGCCGCGAGGUGGAGCUAGUCUCUAAAACCGGCCUCAGUUCGGAUUGGAGUCUGCAACUCGACUCCAUGAAGCUGGAAUCGCUAGUAAUCGCGGAUCAGAACGCCGCGGUGAUACGUUCCCGGGCCUUGUACACACCGCCCGUCAAGCCACGAAAGUCGGCUGUACCAGAAGUCGGGUGGGCAACCCUUUACGGGGGCAGCCUGCCGAAGGUAUGACCGAUGAUUGGGGCUAAGUC
rnacentral:rRNA from 1 species